GUACACGGUGGAUGCCCUGGCAGUCAGAGGCGAUGAAGGACGUGCUAAUCUGCGAUAAGCGUCGGUAAGGUGAUAUGAACCGUUAUAACCGGCGAUUUCCGAAUGGGGAAACCCAGUGUGAUUCGUCACACUAUCAUUAACUGAAUCCAUAGGUUAAUGAGGCGAACCGGGGGAACUGAAACAUCUAAGUACCCCGAGGAAAAGAAAUCAACCGAGAUUCCCCCAGUAGCGGCGAGCGAACGGGGAGGAGCCCAGAGCCUGAAUCAGUGUGUGUGUUAGUGGAAGCGUCUGGAAAGGCGCGCGAUACAGGGUGACAGCCCCGUACACAAAAAUGCACAUACUGUGAGCUCGAUGAGUAGGGCGGGACACGUGGUAUCCUGUCUGAAUAUGGGGGGACCAUCCUCCAAGGCUAAAUACUCCUGACUGACCGAUAGUGAACCAGUACCGUGAGGGAAAGGCGAAAAGAACCCCGGCGAGGGGAGUGAAAAAGAACCUGAAACCGUGUACGUACAAGCAGUGGGAGCCUCUUUAUGGGGUGACUGCGUACCUUUUGUAUAAUGGGUCAGCGACUUAUAUUCUGUAGCAAGGUUAACCGAAUAGGGGAGCCGAAGGGAAACCGAGUCUUAACUGGGCGUUAAGUUGCAGGGUAUAGACCCGA
rnacentral:rRNA from 1 species